GCCCGUCUAGCUCAUCGGUUAGAGCGCUCCACUAGUAAUGGAGAGGUGGCUGGUUCGACUCCAGUGAUGGGCA